CCCUAAAUGGCUGAGUCAGUAAAGCACGAGACUCUGAAUCUCUGAGUUGUGGGUCCGUGCCUCAUGUUUGGGAA